AUAUACUGCAUUAUAUAUUGCUAUAUCAAGCCAGUCAACCAUAAUAUGUGUCACAGCCGUCAUCCGCUAUGAUCGUCAAGCACUUUUAGCCAUUCAAGAGCACAUGAAUACAGCGUGUGUUACCUGGGCCGCAUAUGAGGAGCGCUUUCCUCCACCUGUUGAGUGUGAGGCGUCAUCUUUGGAGUGCCUACUGGUAACCAAGCGUCGUGCCAGGAGAAGGAAGAGGGGCUCGCGGGCUGGAGUACAGUCCAGGCGGAGGAAGCUGAGGGGUUGCAUGUCCUGGGUCACCUGGUCCGGAUCCGCUGGUGAUCUGCGUUGUUUACGCAGGAUCCCUGUCCACGAACCCGGUGUGGACGCGGCCCUCACGCCACCGGCAUCUUGCUCCCCGCUUCUGUGGCUGCAGACUAAUCGUACCUUUCCAGCUCAACCCGCCCGGCACCCGCUCCUGCACCGGCGUGAGCGAGUCCUGCGGGCAGUCACUGUGGAGGAUACCGCCCGGGUUGCCUCGAAGAGCCGUGCGGGUCUGCGCACAUCUCCAGCUGAGCGCGCGCAGCCGAUACGCUUUGCUCUCCUAAACGCACGCUCCAUUGCGAACAAGACGCACUUUCUGAGUGAUUUAUUCUCAGACAAAGACCUGGAUUUCAUGGCCCUGACUGAGACUUGGCAGAAAGAGCGGGAAUUUGCCUAUUUGAAUGAAGUUUGUCCUCCAAACUGCUCCGUGUUUGGGACUCCGCGGAUUGCUCGGCGAGGAGGCGGUCUUGCGCUGAUCCACAAGGAUUACUUUCCGUGCAGGCAGAUGAAGCCGGGGAUUUACAAUUCGUUCGAGCUUCAGUUGACAAAGGUUUGUAACUGACUGACAGUCUGCGUCUCCUCCUGUGGCCUCACUCCCCCCCACCCCACCGCCCCGUACAGAUUCCUUCUACCGUCCCGCCUGGGGUUCGACUCCAACACGUUGUGCCUGCAUCAGUGAUUUUCCGGCCUCCUUUUAUGGAUGCAUCACUGACGUUGGUACCGGUCAUGACUUGAAGUGCAGCGAAAAACUCCUGCACUGUUAGAUGGAUGAAGCUGAAGGCCUUGACACACGUCCCAUUCUGACGCCGGAGCUCCACCUAACCCAAGGUAAGGAUGUACAUUUAUUUAAAAGACGAUUAUGAAUAUUAAUUCAUUUGUAUAGUUGAUAUGUUGCAGGAAAAAAGACUGUCAGGUGCAUUGCAUGUACGAUUUAACCUCACCUGUGUGAAGAGCCCCGUCCUGAUCGAGAACUUCAACACAUCCGGUGAAAGCUCUUCCUCCAAAAACAGGAUCUUGUGUUCCUCUAAACCUUUCCAAGCGAGUCGGCUGAGCUCACACAACUUGGAUUGUUGCAGUCUGAGAGAGCUGCGUGUAGAAACAGAAAACAAAUACAGUUCUUUUGAAAUCCUACCAACAGCUGCAGGAGACAAGUGGAGAAUUCAAACAAAAGUAAACGGGAACAUUAAGACAUAAAACUAGCUUAUAAUGCAGUUAUAUCAGAGUACAUUUUUGUGCCAUCAAACUAACAUUUUAAAGAUUUUUUUUUGUGCUGACUGCAUUAGACAUAUAUUUUUCUUGGUCAUGCUAGAUUCCACACAGAUUUUGAACACAUUUCUAAUCAGUCUUCACCUCUGGGAGAAUCUGGAAGAGUUGGGCUGGUCUUCUCCUUGGGAACUGCAACGGGCCAGAAAGGCGCUGAGCAGGGUGAGGUAGAUUUGGGUAAGCGUGUUGGGAACUUCUGACGUAGUUUGAAAAAGCUCAUCUCCUCCGUUGGUUCCAUUUCCCAGUAUAUCUGUGCUCCUUUCUGUGUGUGCAUCUUUUUCUGUUGUUACUUUGUGAUCGGGUGGGAUCUGCGCUCCUCCGUCUGCUCCUUUUUCCGUUUCCCCGAUUCUGCUGCUUCUCACUGCUUGUCUCCUUUCUCCAAGUAGUAAAUAAUCCAGACAGAUGCAGCAGAUGUUGCACAGGGCCGGGAGGGAAGACAUGCUGAGGAGGUGUCGGCUGGAGAAAAGAAGAUCUGCUGCCUUCUCUCCGAGAGCUUUGUCUGAGUGAAAACAGGUGAGACUAUGGCUUCACGGUCAAAGAAGACAACUAUGACUGGGGAAGCACGAGGUCGCAGUGAUGUUGUUUGUUGUCCACGUACUCCCGGAUCUCUUGGUGGUUCCAUCCCAGCAGCUGCCCCACUUUGUCGGAGACGCCGUCCAAAUCCACAACGUCACGCAGCCGACAGGUGACCAGCACCGUGCUUCCUGGAAGGAUCUGGCGAUUCAGCAGCCCUGAGAUGAGGUCUGCCACUGGCAGAGAGUUCUCCAGGCCCGGCGUUCCUCUGUGCGGGUCUGCUCUGCUGAGUUUUCCCUGAAACUCGUCGUAGCCGUCCAACACCCAACAGCUCUGCUCUGGAUUGGAGAGGAGGCGGGGGGUAAUGUUGGAACAGCAGCUCCGACAGAGAGAGGGGGCGGAGCAACAGGUUGAGCUGACGAAACUCAAGCAGCACAAAAAGAAUUUUAAGGCCGGAUGCUCUUCUGGAGGGUGAAGAGCCUCACUGAGGGGCCCUCAGUGACUCAACAUCCUGCUGUGCAACGGGAGAAAGCAGAAGUCGUCCUCACCUGGUGUUAGGCCUCCUCUGUCUGCUG